rnacentral:rRNA from 1 species
GUCGACGGUAGAGGGGGCAACCCCUUGAGAGUGGCGAACGGGUGAGUAAUAUAUCGGAACGUGCCCAGUCGUGGGGGAUAACGUAGUGAAAAUUACGCUAAUACCGCAUACGAUCUAAGGAUGAAAGCGGGGGAUCGCAAGACCUCGCGCGAUUGGAGCGGCCGAUAUCAGAUUAGGUAGUUGGUAGGGUAAAGGCCUACCAAGCCAACGAUCUGUAGCUGGUCUGAGAGGACGACCAGCCACACUGGAACUGAGACACGGUCCAGACUCCUACGGGAGGCAGCAGUGGGGAAUUUUGGACAAUGGGCGAAAGCCUGAUCCAGCCAUUCCGCGUGCAGGAUGAAGGCCCUCGGGUUGUAAACUGCUUUUGUACAGAACGAAAAGGUCUCUAUUAAUACUAGGGGCUCAUGACAGUACUGUAAGAAUAAGCACCGGCUAACUACGUGCCAGCAGCCGCGGUAAUACGUAGGGUGCAAGCGUUAAUCGGAAUUACUGGGCGUAAAGCGUGCGCAGGCGGUUAUAUAAGUCAGAUGUGAAAUCCCCGGGCUCAACCUGGGAACUGCAUUUGAGACUGUAUAGCUAGAGUACGGUAGAGGGGGAUGGAAUUCCGCGUGUAGCAGUGAAAUGCGUAGAUAUGCGGAGGAACACCGAUGGCGAAGGCAAUCCCCUGGACCUGUACUGACGCUCAUGCACGAAAGCGUGGGGAGCAAACAGGAUUAGAUACCCUGGUAGUCCACGCCCUAAACGAUG